rnacentral:rRNA from 1 species
AUUGAACGCUGGCGGCAGGCCUAACACAUGCAAGUCGAACGAGUGGCGGACGGGUGAGUAAUGUCUGGGAAACUGCCCGCUGGAGGGGGAUAACUACUGGAAACGGUAGCUAAUACCGCAUACCAUCGGAUGUGCCCAGAUGGGAUUAGCUAGUAGGUGGGGUAACGGCUCACUUAGGCGCCGAUCCCUAGCUGGUCUGAGAGGAUGACCAGCCCCACGGGAACUGAGACACGGUCCAGACUCGUACGGGAGGCAGCAGUGGAGAAUAUUUAACAAUGGGCGCAAGCCUGAGGCAGCCAUGCCGCGUGUAUGAAGAAGGCCUUCGGGUUGUAAAGUACUUUCAGCGGGGAGGCGUUAACCGCAGAAGAAGCACCGGCUAACUCCGUGCCAGCAGCCGCGGUAAUUC